GGCCUCUCUCUCUCAGGGCUGUGGGGAGUACAGUUUCUCCUCAGCCAAGGAUGGAGACAAAGAUUAGCCCUUUAAGAUCAUUGUGAGGACUGCCAUGAGCUGGCAGCCUUGUUGUCCUGCCUCAGACAUUU
ensembl:snoRNA